GCGGUGGAUUAUGUGGUAUUAAUCGAUGCAACGCGAAAACCUUACCUACCCUUGACAUGUCCUGAAGCCUGGAGAGAGUCCGGGUGUGGACCCGAAAGGGAACGGGAACACAGGUGCUGCAUGGCUGUCGUCAGCUCGUGUCGUGAGAUGUUGGGUUAAGUCCCGCAACGAGCGCAACCCUUGUCAUUAGUUGCUACAUUUGGUUGGGCACUCUAAUGAGACUGCCGGUGACAAACCGGAGGAAGGUGGGGAUGACGUCAAGUCCUCAUGGCCCUUAUGGGUAGGGCUUCACACGUAAUACAAUGGCGCGUACAGAGGGUUGCCAAGCCGCGAGGUGGAGCCAAUCCCAGAAAGCGCGUCGUAGUCCGGAUUGCAGUCUGCAACUCGACUGCAUGAAGUCGGAAUCGCUAGUAAUCGCGGAUCAGCAUGUCGCGGUGAAUACGUUCCCGGGUCUU
rnacentral:rRNA from 1 species